GACGAACGCCGGCGGCGUGCUUAACACAUGCAAGUCGAACGGUAAGGCCCUUCGGGGUACACGAGUGGCGAACGGGUGAGUAACACGUGGGUGAUCUGCCCUGCACUUCGGGAUAAGCCUGGGAAACUGGGCCUAAUACCGGAUAGGACCACUGCCUGCAUGGGUGGUGGUGGAAAGCUUUUGCGGUGUGGGAUGGGCCCGCGGGCUAUCAGCUUGUUGGUGGGGUGAUGGCCUACCAAGGCGACGACGGGGAGCCGGCCUGAGAGGGUGAGCGGCCACACUGGGACUGAGAUACGGCCCAGACUCCUACGGGAGGCAGCAGCGGGGAAUAUUGCACAAUGGGCGCAAGCCUGAUGCAGCGACGCCGCGUGAGGGAUGACGGCCUUCGGGUUGUAAACCUCUUUCAGCACCGACGAAGCGCAAGUGACGGUAGGUGCAGAAGAAGGACCGGCCAACUACGUGCCAGCCGCCGCCGUAA
rnacentral:rRNA from 1 species